ensembl:lincRNA
AAUGUGCUUGACUUUUUCUUAUUAAUUUGUAAUAGCUUUAUGCUUCACCUUUUAGAUCCACUGACUCACACCUGCCUCUCUGCUUGUCCAGAGAGGUACAGAGAAGUAAUGACUUGGACUUGAGGAAGGCCCUUGUAGGACAUGUGAAUGCCAGUGCUCAUGGAGAAAGGUGGAGGAAGAGAGCCAGAGCGCAGUUCACCUCUGGGAGAGCAGACCAGAGUGGCUUCCGUGGGCACAUGCUGGAUUGAAGUGAGAAGACGUGACUACUAA